rnacentral:rRNA from 1 species
AUUGAACGCUGGCGGCAUGCCUUACACAUGCAAGUCGAACGGUAACAGGUCUUCGGAUGCUGACGAGUGGCGAACGGGUGAGUAAUACAUCGGAACGUGCCUAGUAGUGGGGGAUAACUACUCGAAAGAGUGGCUAAUACCGCAUGAGAUCUACGGAUGAAAGCAGGGGAUCGCAAGACCUUGUGCUACUAGAGCGGCCGAUGGCAGCUUAGGUAGUUGGUGGGAUAAAAGCUUACCAAGCCGACGAUCUGUAGCUGGUCUGAGAGGACGAUCAGCCACACUGGGACUGAGACACGGCCCAGACUCCUACGGGAGGCAGCAGUGGGGAAUUUUGGACAAUGGGCGAAAGCCUGAUCCAGCAAUGCCGCGUGCAGGAUGAAGGCAUUCGGGUUGUAAACUGCUUUUGUACGGAACGAAAAGCCCCGGGUUAAUACCCUGGGGUCAUGACGGUACCGUAAGAAUAAGCACCGGCUAACUACGUGCCAGCCGCCGCAGUAA